AGUGAACGCUGGCGGUAGGCCUAACACAUGCAAGUCGAACGGCAGCACAGUAAGAGCUUGCUCUUACGGGUGGCGAGUGGCGGACGGGUGAGGAAUACAUCGGAAUCUACUUUUUCGUGGGGGAUAACGUAGGGAAACUUACGCUAAUACCGCAUACGACCUACGGUUGAAAGCAGUGGAUCUUCGGACCUUGCGCGAUUGAAUGAGCCGAUGUCGGAUUAGCUAGUUGGCGGGGUAAAGGCCCACCAAGGCGACGAUCCGUAGCUGGUCUGAGAGGAUGAUCAGCCACACUGGAACUGAGACACGGUCCAGACUCCUACGGGAGGCAGCAGUGGGGAAUAUUGGACAAUGGGCGCAAGCCUGAUCCAGCCAUACCGCGUGGGUGAAGAAGGCCUUCGGGUUGUAAAGCCCUUUUGUUGGGAAAGAAAAGCAGCAGGUUAAUACCCCGCUGUUCUGACGGUACCCAAAGAAUAAGCACCGGCUAACUUCGUG
rnacentral:rRNA from 1 species